rnacentral:piRNA from 1 species
UGAAGGACCUACAAUGUCACGGGUGCUGCAC